rnacentral:rRNA from 1 species
CAGUCGCCACGGUAAAACGUAGGUGGCAAGCGUUGUCCGGAAUUAUUGGGCGUAAAGGGCUCGCAGGCGGUUUCUUAAGUCUGAUGUGAAAGCCCCCGGCUCAACCGGGGAGGGUCAUUGGAAACUGGGAAACUUGAGUGCAGAAGAGGAGAGUGGAAUUCCACGUGUAGCGGUGAAAUGCGUAGAGAUGUGGAGGAACACCAGUGGCGAAGGCGACUCUCUGGUCUGUAACUGACGCUGAGGAGCGAAAGCGUGGGGAGCAAACAGGAUUAGAUACCCCUGUAGUCCCUGUCUCUUAUAC